rnacentral:lncRNA from 10 species
CGCCGCCUCCCGUUCGCCUCUGCGCCUGGCCCGGCGACUGCGGGCGCUGCGGUCCACUGGGUCCGCCUCUUCCCGGCAUGGGUUUCUGCCCAGCUCACCCGCUGUCAGCUGGGGUCCUGCUCUGGUGGGAGGAAGAGGCUCAGACGCUUCCCUGCCCUCUCGCCUCAACCACCUCGAGGCAGCGGCUCCCAGGAUGUGCACUUUGACGACUAAAGCUGAGCCGGCGCCGCCACGACCUUGGGCGGGUGGUCGGCCUCUGCCCUGAGCAGGAAGUAGAAAGUCUCAGCAGACCCUUCCUGAGGGCCGAGCAACAGUGUAGUGGCGUAUUCCACAUAGCAAACAGAUGUACACUAGAUUUUGAUGGCAUUUUUCCAGGGACCCUGGGAGCAUCUGUGUUCUCGUGUUCUUCUUGCCUGUGAGGCCUCUUCUCUCUGAGGACAGAUGGUAGGACAGAGAGAAGACAGCAAAUGGAAAACAAAGGCUGCUAUUUUUUUGUGGGGCAGGCAGCAUUUCUUCCUGUGACAAUAUGGUGUAAGACAAAAUUGUGGCCUGCCAUGAAGUUGUGAGAGAAAAGCAUCCCUCAUUUCUUCAGGAAAGGCCACUGCCGUUCCCUCCGGCUCCUCUUCUCAGGAGUUUGUGCAUUCAUGAGGUGAAUUCCUUGGAAGAUGAGGGCCAAGUCUUAUUCUUCUCAGUCUCUUCUGCAUCUAGCAGAAGAAUAAUGGUUGCACAGAAAAUCUUGGUUCAGUGGUUGAGUGAAUGAAUGGAUGAACAGGCUCUUGCACACAAAGAAGAGACAUGAUGUAUUUGCAUCCUUCCCUGCUUCAGCCAGGUCCCCAGACAGUCCCGGUGUGCACACUUCCCUGCUUCUGUUCAUGAUGUUCUCUGAACCUGGGAUCACCUUUCCCCUUCCUCUUACCUGCCCGAUCCUACUUGUCCUCCCAGAUUCAGUUUUCUGAAGCUCAGAGGGACACCUUGUAUUGCUGGAUGAUAAAAACAGGAGCAAAGUGAUGAAGUGCUGACAAGGCAACAAUAGAACAUGAGAGAUUCACUGCUGUGUAGGAAGAGAUCUUCGGUGACCAUGUAGCCUGAAGCUCUCAUUUUGUCAUCGAGGGACACCAAAACUCAGAACAGCAGCAGCUCACGCUGCUGAUGCAACACAGGUGAAGAGCACCUUCCCCUCCCCCACCUGUGGGCUGAUUCCCACCACGUGGAUCCCAAGGCCAUCCCAGGAACUCUUUGGAGGGGAGAAGCCCAGUGGAAACUGUCAGGCCUCUGAGCACAAGCCAAGCCAUCGCAUCCCCUGUGACUUGCACGUAUAUGCCCAGAUGGCCUGAAGUAACUGAAGAAUCACAAAAGAAGUGAAAAGGCCCUGCCCCACCUUAACUGAUGACAUUCCACCAUUGUGAUUUGUUCCUGCCCCACCUUCACUGAGUGAUUAACCCUGUGAAUUUCCUUCUCCUGGCUCAGAAGCUCCCCCACUGAGCACCUUGUGACCCCCGCCCCUGCCCACCAGAGAACAACCCCCUUUGACUGUAAUUUUCCAUUACCUUCCCAAAUCCUAUAAAACGGCCCCACCCCUAUCUCCCUUCGCUGACUCUCUUUUCGGACUCAGCCCGCCUGCACCCAGGUGAAAUAAACAGCCAUGUUGCUCACA